GGAAGUGAGGGCUCUCUGGCUGAGACAUCUGACACCUCAUUGAUGUCCAGGGUUGAUUUGGCUGACCUGGCUGGCUUGGCGGGUGUCCCUUUCCACCCUCAUGGAUCCAUGGAAGAGGAUGACCUUCCCAGAAGAGAUAGACCAGUUUUUGGUUGAGUAGUAGCUGUAUACCCCUGCUAGAAUCUUCAGACAAGCUCUCAGUUCCGUAAAGAAUUGGCAUUACGGGGCCCUGUAGGGGGUCGCUUCACAAGUGGUGAAGCAGGUCUGC
rnacentral:snRNA from 1 species